rnacentral:rRNA from 1 species
AACCCUUCGGGGGGAAGUCGACGGAAUGAGCGGCGGACGGGUGAGUAACACGUAAAGAACCUGCCCUCAGGUCUGGGAUAACCACGAGAAAUCGGGGCUAAUACCGGAUGGGUCAUCGGACCGCAUGGUCCGAGGAUGAAAGGCGCUCCGGCGUCGCCUGGGGAUGGCUUUGCGGUGCAUUAGCUAGUUGGUGGGGUAAUGGCCCACCAAGGCGACGAUGCAUAGCCGACCUGAGAGGGUGAUCGGCCACACUGGGACUGAGACACGGCCCAGACUCCUACGGGAGGGAGCAGUAGGGAAUCUUCCACAAUGGACGAAAGUCUGAUGGAGCAACGCCGCGUGAACGAUGAAGGCCUUCGGGUCGUAAAGUUCUGUUGUAAGGGAAGAACAAGUGCCGCAGGCAAUGGCGGCACCUUGACGGUACCUUGCGAGAAAGCCACGGCUAACUACGUGCCAGCAGCCGCGGUAAUACGUACGUGGCAAGCGUUGUCCGGAAUUAUUGGGCGUAAAGCGCGCGCAGGCGGCCUCUUAAGUCUGAUGUGAAAGCCCCCGGCUCA